UACGGGGGGGGCAAGCGUUGUUCGGAAUUACUGGGCGUAAAGGGCUCGUAGGCGGCCAACUAAGUCAGACGUGAAAUCCCUCGGCUUAACCGGGGAACUGCGUCUGAUACUGGAUGGCUUGAAUCCGGGAGAGGGAUGCGGAAUUCCAGGUGUAGCGGUGAAAUGCGUAGAUAUCUGGAGGAACACCGGUGGCGAAGGCGGCAUCCUGGACCGACAUUGACGCUGAGGAGCGAAAGCUAGGGGAGCAAACGGG
rnacentral:rRNA from 1 species